GAGAUGUAAGUGUAGCGAUACAUUCAGUUGACUGAUACUAAUAGGUCGAAGAUUUAUUCAC
rnacentral:rRNA from 1 species